GAAUUCGCCCUUAGAGUUUGAUUCUGGCUCAGGACGAACGCUGGCGGCGUGCCUAACACAUGCAAGUCGAGCGAAUGAAGUUUCUUCGGGAACGGAUUUAGCGGCGGACGGGUGAGUAACACGUGGGCAACCUGCCUCAUAGAGGGGAAUAGCCUUCCGAAAGGGAGAUUAAUACCGCAUAAGAUUGUAGUACCGCAUGGUACAUCAAUUAAAGGAGCAAUCCGCUAUGAGAUGGGCCCGCGGCGCAUUAGCUAGUUGGUGAGGUAACGGCUCACCAAGGCGACGAUGCGUAGCCGACCUGAGAGGGUGAUCGGCCACAUUGGGACUGAGACACGGCCCAGACUCCUACGGGAGGCAGCAGUGGGGAAUAUUGGGCAAUGGGCGAAAGCCUGACCCAGCGACGCCGCGUGAAGGACGAAGGCCUUCGGGUUGUAAACUUCUUUGGGGAGGGACGAAAAUGACGGUACCUCCAGAACAAGCCACGGCUAACUACGUGCCAGCAGCCGCGGUAAUACGUAGGUGGCAAGCGUUAUCCGGAUUUACUGGGUGUAAAGGGCGCGCAGGCGGCCCCAAAAGUCAGAUGUGAAAGAUCAAGGCUUAACUUUGACAUGUCAUCUGAAACUUUGGGACUUGAGUAUCAGAGGGGAAAGCGGAAUUCCUGGUGGAGCGGUAAAAUGCGCAGAGAUCAGGAGGAACACCGGUGGCGAAGGCGGCUUUCUGGCUGACAACUGACGCUGAGGCGCGAAAGCGUGGGGAGCAAACAGGAUUAGAUACCCUGGUAGUCCACGCUGUAAACGAUGAUCACUCGUUUUUGGCAAUACAUCGUCAGAGAGUAAGCGAAAGCACUAAGUGAUCCACCUGGGGAGUGCGUUCGCAAGAAUGAAACUCAAAGGAAUAGACGGGGGCCCGCCCAAGCGGAGGAACAUGUGGUUUAAUUCGAUGGUACGCGAGGAACCUUACCUGGGCGUAAAUGUAUAGUGCAUAAUAUGGAAACAUAUUUUUCCUUCGGGGCUCUUUACAAGGUGCUGCAUGGUUGUCGUCAGCUCGUGCCGUGAGGUGUCGGGUUAAGUCCCAUAACGAGCGCAACCCUCAUCGCCAGUUGCCAGCAUGUAAUGAUGGGGACUCUGGUGAAACUGCCGGUGUAAACCGUGAGGAAGGUGGGGAGGACGUCAAAUCAGCACGGCCCUCAUGUCCAGGGCUACACACGUGUUACAAUGGCCAAUACAAAGGGCAGCCACCCGGCGACGGGGUGGUAAUCCAUAAAGCUGGUCUCAGUUAGGAAAGAAGUCUGCAACUCGACUUCAUGAAGUCGGAAUUGCUAGUAAUCGUAAAUCAGC
rnacentral:rRNA from 1 species